AGAGGACCAGCGGCUCCGCUCAGCCCGCGGCCGCAGUCCGCUCCCCCUCACGUCGCCGCCCGCCAUCGCCAUCGCCGCCGCCGCCGCCAUCGCACCCUCCUUGUGGAGGCGGAGCCGCUCGCAGCCCCCGCCCCGGCCCCGGCCUCUCUCUCUCUCCCUCUCCCUCCCCCCCCCCCUCCCUCUCCUCCCCCUUCUCCCCUCCUUCUCUCUCGCCAGCGCAUAUAAGCGGCGGCCGGGCCUCUCGCCGCUCUCCUCCCUCCCUCCAUCCCUCCUCUCCCUCCCUCCCCCCCGCCCGCCCGCCAUGGAGACGGAGGUGCGCGUCCCCAGCGGCGCGCCCGCUCUGCUCAAGCUCGCCGUGUACGUGGACGAGAACGACGUGGUUCCCGCGGGCGCUGCGGCUGGUGGCCGAGCUGCGGCCUCCUGGGACCCGCCAGCCCGGGUCCGCACCAAGUUAUUUACAGAUGGGAUUACAAACAAACUGGUUGGCUGCUAUGUGGGGAACAAUAUGGAAGACGUUGUCCUGGUCAGAGUUUACGGGAACAAGACUGAGCUGUUUGUGGAUCGUGACAAUGAACUGAAGAGUUUCCAGGUCCUGCAUGCCAACGGCUGUGCUCCAAAGCUCUACUGCACAUUCCAGAAUGGGCUCUGCUACGAGUUCAUGCAUGGCAUCGCCCUCGGUCCGCAACAUGUGCGGGAGACGGCCCUGUUCAGACUCAUUGCGACAGAACUGGCAAGGAUUCAUUCUAUUCAUGCUCACAAUGGUUGUAUUCCAAAACCCAACCUCUGGGUGAAAAUGCACAAGUACAUGGCUCUCGUCUCCACCGAAUUCACUCCAGAAGCCAAAAAUACCAGGAUUCAGAAGGAAGUGCCGCCUUUGCAGACACUGGAGAAGGAAAUGGCAUGGAUGAAGCAGUACCUGUCGGAGUUGAACUCUCCCACCGUACUUUGUCAUAAUGAUCUCCUUUGCAAGAAUAUCAUCUACAAUGAAAAGGAAGGUUGGGUGAAGUUUAUCGACUACGAGUAUUCCAGCUAUAAUUACCAGGCCUUUGAUAUUGGAAACCACUUCAAUGAAUUUGCAGGGGUGAAUGAGGUAGACUACUCUUUGUAUCCAGACCAAUCCUUGCAGAUGGAAUGGCUGAGAACCUACUUGGAAGCAUGUAAGCAAUUUACCAACAAGGGAGGCGAGGUAACGGACAAUGAAGUGCACACCCUGUAUGUCCAAGUCAACAAGUUCUCCUUGGCAUCUCAUUUCUUCUGGGGGUUCUGGGCACUGAUUCAAGCCAAGUAUUCCACAAUAGACUUCGAUUUCUUAGGGUAUAGUGUGCUGCGGUUCAACCAGUACUUCAAGAUGAAGCCUUGUGUCACCGCUCUCCAAAGCCCGGCGUGAUCCAGGCAGAAUGGCAUUCCAUCACCGUGGUACACAAUGGGGCCCCUGGCAGUCCUAUCAUAUCUGAUUAAUGACGGGGGCACUUAACCUGAGAAGCACUGACUCUCCAAGAUUCUCUUAAAACGAUUCGAUUUAAACCACAGUCCCGCAAACACUUGGUCGGUGAUCUAGCCGUCCCUUUGUUCAGGAGGCUUGUGAUAGCAAGUCACUGUUUUCUCAAAGCAAGCUGAUUCCAGAGUAGAUAGGGAAAAUACGGGCCCGUCGCAGAGAGAAAGUGAAAAGCACUAUCUCCGUUCUGUUUUUGCCUUGCUUCAUAAACCUUAUGAUGGCGAGGGACCUGUUAAUCAAAAUCGCAAAAUGUUUCCGAAUCUUAACUUAAGAAAACUUAGUCGCAGUGGACCUGGCUCGUGAGUUCCAACCCUCCUGUGAUCAAACUAAUUUCAUUCAUCUCCCUCGCACGUGGCAUCUGUGUGGAUUUGCAUUUUUGUUGGAUCAAAUCUUUGCUCUCAGUUGCCGGUUACGAUCGACGUGGCCACACGUGCGGGAGAACAAACAGUCUGCUAUCUUGGGUGAAAGUGGUGGCAAAUUGAGUUCAGGGACUGGAUAAAUUUGUCUACCUCCUGUGGAACUUGUAAACAUUUUGAGGGUACUGCUAAAUAACCUUGUAAAUAAAGUAAUCUCUGGAAGA